rnacentral:rRNA from 1 species
AGAACGAACGCUGGCGGCAUGCCUAACACAUGCAAGUCGAACGAGACCUUCGGGUCUAGUGGCGCACGGGUGCGUAACGCGUGGGAAUCUGCCCUAGGGUGCGGAAUAACUCGGAGAAAUCCGUGCUAAUACCGCAUAAUGUCUUCGGACCAAAGAUUUAUCGCCCUGGGAUGAGCCCGCGUAGGAUUAGCUAGUUGGUGGGGUAAAAGCCUACCAAGGCGACGAUCCGUAUCC